rnacentral:rRNA from 1 species
GUGCAGCAGUCGAGAAACCUUCGCAAUGCGGGAAACCGCGACGAGGGGACUCCCAGUGCCUACGCUCAGCGUAGGCUGUUCCCGAGCCUAGAAAGCUCGGGGAGUAAGGGCUGGGUAAGACGGGUGCCAGCCGCCGCGGUAAUACCCGCAGCCCGAGUGGUGGCCACUAUUAUUGGGCCUAAAGCGUCCGUAGCCGGCCCGGUAAAUGCCUGGGUAAAUCGUGAGGCCUAACCUCACGAAUUCCGGGUAGACUGCCGGGCUAGGGACCGGAGGAGGGAGAGGGUACUCCGAGGGGUAGGGGUGAAAUCCUGUAAUCCCUGGAGGACCACCGGUGGCGAAGGCGCUCUCCUAGGACGGGUCCGACGGUGAGGGACGAAAGCCAGGGGAGCGAACCGGAUUAGAUACCCGUGUAGU